GACGAACGCUGGCGGCGUGCCUAACACAUGCAAGUCGAGCGAAUGAAGUUCCUUCGGGAACGGAUUUAGCGGCGGACGGGUGAGUAACACGUGGGCAACCUACCUCAUAGAGGGGAAUAGCCUUCCGAAAGGGAGAUUAAUACCGCAUAAGAUUGUAGUUUCGCAUGAAACAGCAAUUAAAGGAGCAAUCCGCUAUGAUAUGGGCCCGCGGCGCAUUAGCUAGUUGGUGAGGUAACGGCUCACCAAGGCGACGAUGCGUAGCCGACCUGAGAGGGUGAUCGGCCACAUUGGGACUGAGACACGGCCCAGACUCCUACGGGAGGCAGCAGUGGGGAAUAUUGCACAAUGGGGGAAACCCUGAUGCAGCAACGCCGCGUGAGUGAUGACGGUCUUCGGAUUGUAAAGCUCUGUCUUCAGGGACGAUAAUGACGGUACCUGAGGAGGAAGCCACGGCUAACUACGUGCCAGCCGCCGCAGUAAUAC
rnacentral:rRNA from 1 species